AACCACUUCCGAAAAGGUUCAUCCCCUGGCAUCCAAUCAGAAGAGCACAUUUAGAAUGUAUUUCUCAGAACUGGGCUUAGAUGUACUUUUCCUACACAUUUUGACUCAAAUUGAAAGGAUAGUUCAACUUCAACUAUCACAGCGUACUUGCAAAAAAAAAAUGAAUGGAGGAAUCUUGCACACUUGAGAGCAGUUAAAAAACCAUUCUGAUACAGUUUAAACCUUUCCUUGACUGGCUCUCGGUGGCCCUCUUUGUUUCCUGUACCUGUGGCAUUCACAUCCUUCUUUCAGUAACUGACAGGAAACAAUGAACAAGAGAACAGCUCUAACAAUUCUAUGCUGUUCCAUGUUCUGUGAGGCUUUUGGAGCAGGUCAAAAUGAGAUUCUAGUGGAACCAGGGGACACAGUCACCCUUGGCUGUGACAUUACCCUGGAGUACGAGGUCAUGUGGUUUGUUCUUCGUCCUGAUGCCACUCUUUCAGUAGCCAUCACUAUAAAGACAAAUACACCCCUGAGCCUCAACAAAAAGUUUGAUGGUCGUUUCGAGUCAGUGUAUGACACAGGCCUGUUCCGAAGCAAUCUGAGCAUACUGAACAUUUCAGAGAGUGACGUGGGUCUGUACUACUGUGUUGAGCAGAGGGCUAACAUAUUUGAGAUCGGAAGUGGGACCAAGCUCUCCCUUAUCAGUGGUGAUCAGCUCUCUACUACUGUUGUUGGGAUGAAGUUGUCAUGGUUUAUCACCUUGAUCAUAGCCCCCAUGUUCUCUGUGCUGGGGUCUGCUCUCUGUGUCUUCUGCUGUUGACGACCUGCUAAGAAAUGAUUUGCACCCAAUAAUUCUAAUUUUCACAUUGAAUCAGCUUUCUGAAAUGCAUUUUUUUAAUACUUAUGUGGUGCAACUCACGGUCUGUAAAUCGGUUAUUGGUGUUUAUUGCGCAUUUCAUGAAGAUUAAAAAAAUAGCUGUCCUCUUACACUGUAGAUCCUGACAAAAUGAGGUUUCUGGAAAAAUUUGGUUGAAGCCUGUCAUCUAGAGGACCAAGAGUGAGUAUAGGAGGACAAACAGGAAUAAAAUGUAAAGAUGCUGAGAGUAAAAGUAACAUUUCUGGUGUUUUAUAAGUCUCCUGUGACACACGGGGUUAAACUUCUGCCACUCCAUACAUCGAAGUAGGUGGACGAUGGGAUCUACAUGUGUCCAGAUUGGUUUCACAUCUUUGUAUUUAUUGUGUUAUUCCAGUGUUGAUUGCAUGACCAGUAUGUUCAGGGUGUUAGAGAUAGAAAUGUAUUGAACAAGAUCAUUUUAGACAUCUGAUCUUAAAUCAUUUACGUCAUAUCUACCAUUCCAUCCAAGGACCAAUUAUCAAAACAGUACUGGUUUAACCAUAAAUCUGCAACUAGAAAUAUAUUUUUUAAAUCUGAAACGCAACAACCUGCUGUUAUACUGUAUGUAGUAUAUUCGGAAUGUAUUCAGACCGCUUGACUUUUUCCCGCAUUGUUACGUUACAGCUUAUUCUAAAAUUGAUUAAAUUAUAUUUUUCUUCAUCAGUCUACACACAAUACUAUUUAAUUACAAAGCAAAUUAAUUUGUUUACAUUUUGGCACGUGUGCACACAUAUAUAUAUAUAUAUAAAGAAGAAGUAAAUAUCACAUUUACAUAAGU